GCAGGGCCUUUACAUGACAGUGUGGAGCUACUGCCACUUAUUACCUAUGUAUUAUACUAUGUGUCUGGCACUAUGCUAAGCACCUUAUAUGCAUUCUCCUACUUACUCUUACAACUGCCCUGGGCUUGGGUAUUAUUGCCAUUUCCAUUUUGCAGAUGAGAAAAAUAGGCUGAGAAAAAUUAAAUGAACUUCCUUAAGACAUCCAACUAGGAUGGAGAGUCUGAACUCAAAACCAAGUUUGCUUGAGCAAAGCCUGUCUGUUCCUGGCCCAUACCACCACACUGCUCCUCUUGCUUUGACAAGACACGAGGGCAAAGCAGGGGCUGGUAUCCUUUGGUGUGUGUUAGAGCAGCAGGGGUGGUUUGUCCCAGGCCCCUUCACCUUCACCCUGUACUUGAAUCACUAGAACCAUGAUUACUGUGCCUCCUGCACCCAGGGUCACCCUCCCAACCCCUUCCCACUUCCUACUGCCACUAGUCAUAGAAGCUUAUCUUUGCAGAUUCUUGACCCCAAUCCUCAUCUUCCAACCUAGUUUCUGGGCCUUUCCCUGCCCAUCAUUAUAAUUCAGCUGU
rnacentral:lncRNA from 1 species